GCCCGGUUAGCUCAAUCGGUAGAGCGUGAGACUCUUACUAGUAAUCUCAAGGUUGCGGGUUCGACCCCCGCAUCGGGCU